rnacentral:rRNA from 1 species
UACGUAGGGUGCAAGCGUUGUCCGGAAUUAUUGGGCGUAAAGAGCUCGUAGGCGGUUUGUCGCGUCUGCUGUGAAAACUCGGGGCUUAACUCCGGGCCUGCAGUGGGUACGGGCAGACUAGAGUGCGGUAGGGGAGACUGGAAUUCCUGGUGUAGCGGUGAAAUGCGCAGAUAUCUGGAGGAACACCGGUGGCGAAGGCGGCAUCCUGGACCGGUAUUGACGCUGAGGAGCGAAAGCCAGGGGAGCAAACGGG